AUUUAAAUGCCCAGGUGUAGGUGGGUGCAGUGGAAUUAGGAGAAAGAGCACUUCUCCCCAUCACACUCUGCAGUUGUUGUGACAGCUUAGCCGUGAGUGGGUCAGGUGGCAAAAGCAGAGGCAGACCCAGGCCAGCCGAUGCUGCCGGGCACCCUCUCACUCCCCGGUUCAGGAGAGCGUCUCCAGAAGCGCGUCAGUUUGGGGCUGGAAAUUGUAAACCUCGAUCCAAGGAGCAGUUUCCAAAUGGAGAAUGGGUAGAAUUUCUCCUCCUUCUCUUCCACUAGGAGUAAGUGAGCAUCACCAGAAACAUCCAGAUAUGAAGGCUGCAAUCCUACCUAAGCUGCAGCCUGAUCGCUGAAAGCAACUUUGUUCAAUUAAAGCCUGACCAGCUGCAAAACCAGAGUCACGUUAUCUGAUGGACUCAGGAAUAAAAAGGAGUCUGGAUUAAGAAGAAUAAAAACAGAUUACCGCUGGAGAGACCCAGGCAGCCUCAUUCUGUGCACACUGUCUGAUUGUCCCAUUUGCAGGGGCAGAUGUUUCUCUUUGUUACUAUUUUCGCAUGCGUCUGGGAAACAUUUGGGUGGCACUCAACUCACAAGACACCUACCUGAACCUCGUAGCACUGCUGCUCCCCCUGGGUACUCACUUCUAAAUGCUGAAGAGGGAUAGCUGCUAUGGCCUGAGUCUCUGCCUGGAGGCUUAUUUCUAGGUCACAAGGCAAUGACAAACAGGAAGUCUGUAGAAAAACAUCCUUUUUUUUU